AAAAUUCAGAAGUCUACAAGCUGUACGGGGCUCCAGAGAGGAGAACUUCACUUCCCAACAGAGAUGGAAUGAUGGUCCCCUAAGAGCUGCACCAACACAGGUUAAAGCAAUUCAUGCACCAUGAUUCGGAGCCUUGUCUGUACUGGGUUCGUGCGGUGCUUGGAAAUGAAAGGGGACUUAGUUUUCCUGUCCUGAACUCAAGUCUCAACUCUCAUCUAAUCUGAUGUUUCCUCUUCUACAGCAGGAGAAGAAUCAUCUUUACCUUACCGUGUGAUGAAAGCUGUCCUGGACUUGUAAGGACACACAGUUUACUCCUUUAAAAACAGAAGUUCUGGUUCAACAUAGUGAUGUAAGAAGAUCCUGAACUUACCUCCUCUGAACACACUCUGGAGACAAGGCAAUCUUCAGCCUGGGCGGAGAUCACGGUCUAGGCGGCGCGGAACCAUGCUGUCCUGCCUGUCCUCAGACCUCCGGGUGCAUGUAUACUAGAGCUCAU